rnacentral:rRNA from 1 species
GUAGGUGGCAAGCGUUGUCCGGAAUUAUUGGGCGUAAAGCGCGCGCAGGCGGUCCUUUAAGUCUGAUGUGAAAGCCCACGGCUCAACCGUGGAGGGUCAUUGGAAACUGGGGGACUUGAGUACAGAAGAGGAAAGCGGAAUUCCAAGUGUAGCGGUGAAAUGCGUAGAGAUUUGGAGGAACACCAGUGGCGAAGGCGGCUUUCCGGUCUGUAACUGACGCUGAGGCGCGAAAGCGUGGGGAGCAAACAGGAUUAGAUACCCUGGUAGUCCACGCCGUAAACGAUGAGUGCUAAGUGUUAGGGGGUUUCCCGCCCCCCUUAGUGCUGCAGCUAACGCAUUAAGCACUCCGCCUGGGGGAGUACGGCCGCAAGGCUG